rnacentral:rRNA from 1 species
AUUGAACGCUGGCGGCAUGCCUUACACAUGCAAGUCGAACGGUAACAGGUCUUCGGAUGCUGACGAGUGGCGAACGGGUGAGUAAUACAUCGGAACGUGCCUAGUAGUGGGGGAUAACUACUCGAAAGAGUGGCUAAUACCGCAUGAGAUCUACGGAUGAAAGCAGGGGACCGCAAGACCUUGUGCUACUAGAGCGGCCGAUGGCAGAUUAGGUAGUUGGUGGGAUAAAAGCUUACCAAGCCGACGAUCUGUAGCUGGUCUGAGAGGACGAUCAGCCACACUGGGACUGAGACACGGCCCAGACUCCUACGGGAGGCAGCAGUGGGGAAUUUUGGACAAUGGGCGCAGGCCUGAUCCAGCAAUGCCGCGUGCAGGAUGAAGGCCUUCGGGUUGUAAACUGCUUUUGUACGGAACGAAAAGCCCUGGGUUAAUACCCUGGGGUCAUGACGGUACCGUAAGAAUAAGCACCGGCUAACUACGUGCCAGCAGCCGCCGUAACAC